GUGCCCACUUUGGCAGCACACAUACUAAAAUUGGAGUGAUACAGAGAAGAUUAGCAUGGUCCAUUAGAAAGCAUGACACACAAAUUCUUUUUUUUUUUUUUUU